rnacentral:tRNA from 1 species
UGGGGUAUAGUUCAGUGGUAGAGCAUGUGCUUAGCAGGCACAAGGUCCUGGGUUCAAUCCCCAGUACCUCCA